rnacentral:rRNA from 1 species
AGAUUGAACGCUGGCGGCAUGCCUAACACAUGCAAGUCGAACGGGAGUAGCAAUACUCUAGUGGCGGACGGGUGAGGAAUACGUAGGAAUUUGCCCUUAAGUGGGGGAUAACCCGGGGAAACCCGGAUUAAUACCGCAUGACCUCGAAAGAGCAAAGUGGGGGAUCGCAAGACCUCACGCUUUUGGAGAAGCCUACGUCGGAUUAGCUAGUUGGUGAGGUAAUGGCUCACCAAGGCGACGAUCCGUAACUGGUCUGAGAGGAUGAUCAGUCACACCGGAACUGAGACACGGUCCGGACUCCUACGGGAGGCAGCAGUGGGGAAUAUUGGACAAUGGGCGCAAGCCUGGAUCCGAGCAA